CUGUGGUUUGCUGCGGAACAGCCUUGCUUCUGAGUGCUUGCCUAUUUAUUCAGCCAACCCAGAGCAGACUGGUAAAGGAGAGGCCGUUCUUGUGUUCCUUCAGACUGUCUGAGGGGCAUUGCCUCCCCAGCGUGCCCUGAGCACCAGCUGUGCGGAUGGAGUGGGACUGCGGCCCCAUCGUCCAGGCUCUGCCUGACCCACUGUGAGGAGCAGAGCCGCAGGUCCCCGUUCCCUUGUCCAGUCAGCUUUUCUUCCUAGUUUACGUGCUCCUGAAGCUAAAACGUAGACACUUCCCAGGCUUCUCCACACUCUGCCAGAAACAUCUUAUUCACCACCUUUGUGUCUUAAAACCUCACUGCUGAGCCGCCCAUCUAUGCCACCCCCUGGUCUCGAGACGUGCGCUGCCCAGGACAGUAACCACUGGUGAGCCCCUGGAACA
rnacentral:lncRNA from 1 species